rnacentral:rRNA from 1 species
UACGGAGGGUGCGAGCGUUAAUCGGAAUUACUGGGCGUAAAGCACACGUAGGUGGUUGGGUAAGUCGGAUGUGAAAGCCCUGGGCUUAACCUGGGAACUGCAUUCGAUACUGCCCGGCUAGAGUAUGGGAGAGGGAAGCGGAAUUUCCGGUGUAGCGGUGAAAUGCGUAGAGAUCGGAAGGAACAUCAAUGGCGAAGGCAGCUUCCUGGCCCAAUUCUGACGAUCAGGUGCGAAAGCGUGGGGAUCAAACAGG